GCCUGUGUAGCUCAGUGGUAGAGCACUUCCUUGGUAAGGAAGAGGUCCCGAGUUCAACUCUCGGCACCGGCUC
rnacentral:tRNA from 2 species